rnacentral:rRNA from 1 species
UACGGGGGGGGCAAGCGUUGUUCGGAAUUACUGGGCGUAAAGGGCGCGUAGGCGGCCCGCUAAGUCGAACGUGAAAUCCCUGGGCUCAACCCAGGAACUGCGUCCGAUACUGGCAGGCUUGAAUCCGGGAGAGGGAUGCGGAAUUCCAGGUGUAGCGGUGAAAUGCGUAGAUAUCUGGAGGAACACCGGUGGCGAAGGCGGCAUCCUGGACCGGCAUUGACGCUGAGGCGCGAAAGCCAGGGGAGCAAACGGG